rnacentral:sRNA from 1 species
AAGCCAUAGCAGGUGCUUUUGCUGUUUGUGCCUGCGAAUCGCCGAGCGAAGGAGAACGACCGGCAGCAAGGCGAGUGGUCA